CUGCCAGCGCCGGGCAGCGGGACCGGCGUCGCGGCCGCCGUCGGAGCCCACGGGAAGCUAGCAAAUCGCAGGCCAAAGGGAACGGCACUGCAGGACAACUCUUUUCCACAAAGAGGAAGAAACUGCUGUGCUCAGCUCCUUACUUUUCAGCAGUGAUUCUGUGAUGCAAGUUCCAAGAGUUCCUCUUUCUGUGAUAAUGUUCUCUAUGGCCCCUUUUUGCUGAUGUUUGUCACAGUUUUUGGCACAAAGAGAAAGGAUGCUGAAGAAUGGGUACCCUCCUUACGGCUUUUAGAACAUGGGCACUUGUGUAAAGAUGCAGCUGUGAUCCUCGGCUGUGUGUCUCACCGAAGGGACCUGAUGUUUUACAUUAUUGGUGGGAUCACGGUAUUUGUUGUAGCUUUCUUCUUCACCAUUAAGUUCCUAUUUGAGCUUGCCGCACGUAUAGUCAGCUUCCUUCAGCAUGAGGACCGGGAACGCCGAGGGGAGCGAACUAUUUAUGACUACGUGCGAGGCAACUACUUGGAUCCCCGGUCCUGCAAAAUCUCCUGGGAUUGGAAGGACCCCUAUGAGGUGGGCCAUAGCAUGGCCUUCCGAGUGCAUUUAUUCUAUAAAAAUGGGCAACCCUUCCCUGCUCACCGGCCUGUGGGGCUGCGUGUUCACAUCUGCCAUAUGGAGUUAGCAAUUGAUAUUCCUGUAACCCAGGAAGUUCUUCAGGAGCCCAAUUCCAAUGUGGUGAAAGUGGCCUUCACUGUGCGCAGAGCUGGAAGAUAUGAGAUUACUGUAAAACUCGGUGGCUUGAAUGUGGCCUACAGCCCCUACUACAAGGUGUUCCAGCCAGGAAUGGUGGUUCCCUCCAAAACCAAAAUUGUCUGCCAUUUCUCCACUCUGGUGCUGACCUGUGGGCAGCAGCACACUCUGCAGAUAGCUCCCAGAGAUGAGUAUGACAAUCCCACCAGCAACUCUGUGUCACUGAUAGAUGAGCACAAUUACAGCCUCUCCAUCCAUGAGCUGGGUCCUCAAGAAGAAGAGAGCUCUGAUGUGGUGUUUGAGAAGUCUGUGGUGUCUAAUCGGCAGACUUGCGAGGUGCUCUUCCGACUCACCUUGCACUCUAGGGGGUGUUUCCAUGCCUGCAUCUCCUACCAGAACCAGCCCAUAAGCAAUGGUGAUUUUGACAUCAUUGUUCUAAGCGAGAAUGAAAAGAACAUUGUAGAACGCAAUGUGUCCACCUCAGGUGUCAGUAUUUAUUUUGAAGCCUACCUUUAUGAUGCUCCUAGUUAUACCAACACUCAGUGGCAACUUCCACCAAUGCACCUGAGCUCCUCCCAGCGCCGUCCUUCUACUGCAAUUGAGGAUGAAGAUGAAGAUUCUCCUUCUGACAGCCAGACACCUGAGAAAGUGAAAAAGCCUAAAAAAGUGUACUGCUAUGUGUCACCUAAGCAAUUCUCAGUGAAAGAAUUUUACCUGAAGAUCAUUCCAUGGCGCCUUUUCACCUUUAGAGUGUGUCCUGGCACAAAGUUUUCAUACCUUGGUCCUGAUCCUGUGCACAAAUUACUGACACUGGUGGUGGAUGAUGGGAUCCAACCCCCUGUGGAGCUCAGCUGCAAGGAGAGGAACAUCUUGGCAGCCACUUUCAUUCGCUCUCUGCAUAAAAACAUAGGAGGCUCUGAAACCUUCCAAGACAAAGUGAACUUCUUUCAGCGAGAGCUACGUCAGGUGCACAUGAAAAGACCUCAUUCAAAGGUCACGCUGAAGGUCAGCCGUCACUGUCUGCUGGAGUCGUCUUUUAAAGCAACACGAAAUUUUUCUGUUUCUGACUGGAGCAAAAACUUUGAAGUGAUUUUUCAGGAUGAAGAAGCUCUGGACUGGGGAGGUCCACGCAGAGAGUGGUUUGAGCUCAUUUGUAAGGCAUUAUUUGAUACCACCAAUCAACUGUUUACCCGCUUUAGUGAUAACAACCAGGCCUUGGUGCAUCCAAAUCCAGGGCGUCCCACAUAUUUACGACUCAAAGUGUAUGAAUUUGCAGGCCGCCUGGUAGGAAAGUGUCUUUAUGAAUCAUCUCUGGGAGGUGCUUACAAACAACUGGUUCGAGCUCGCUUCACCCGAUCCUUCCUGGCUCAGAUCAUAGGACUUCGUAUGCAUUACAAGUAUUUUGAAACGGAUGACCCAGAAUUCUAUAAAUCCAAAGUGUGUUUUAUACUGAACAAUGAUGUGAGUGAGAUGGAUCUGGUCUUUGCCGAAGAGAAGUAUAGCAAAACAGGACAGCUGGAGAAGGUGGUAGAACUGGUGGCAGGAGGGGCUCAAGUACCAGUGACGAAUGAAAACAAAAUCUUGUAUCUAAAUCUGCUUGCGCAGUACAGGCUGGCUAAUCAGGUUAGAGAGGAGGUGGAUCACUUCCUGAAAGGUCUUAACGAAUUAGUUCCUGAGAACCUGCUGGCUAUUUUUGAUGAGAAUGAGCUUGAGUUGCUUAUGUGCGGUACUGGAGAUAUCAGUGUCUGUGACUUCAAGGCACAUGCUGUAGUGGUGGGAGGAUCUUGGCACUUUCGUGAGAAGGUCAUGAGGUGGUUUUGGACUGUGGUGUCCAGUUUCACGCAGGAAGAGCUGGCCAGGCUUUUGCAGUUCACAACUGGUUCCUCCCAGCUGCCCCCAGGAGGGUUUGCUGCACUCUGUCCAUCUUUCCAGAUCAUUGCAGCUCCAACUCACAGUACUUUGCCGACAGCCCACACUUGUUUUAACCAGCUGUGCCUCCCUACUUAUGACUCCUAUGAAGAAGUGCACAAGAUGCUGCAGCUAGCUAUCAGCGAGGGUUGUGAGGGUUUUGGCAUGCUGUGAUUUCCCCUUUCCAGGAGACCACUUAGCCUCUUGGCUCUUCGUGGCAAGACCCAGGUUCAGUCCUCUGGUUGUUCUCCUUCCCUUCAUACGGGCAAUGGAGGCAGAGCAAAGACUCCAUGUAAAGGAAUUUGUCAUUCAGAAGAUGUCAUGUGGCCUUUCUGUAUCCCAAAUAUGUCAUCAAGAGCUCAUCUUUUCCCUUUUCCUCAUUCUCCAUUUGGUUCAGUGUGAAACAACAAAAGGACUACGGUGCAUUCAUCAAGGAGAUAUUGCACUUGAUUUCCAUGUACCCUAUACACCCAUCCUUCUGUAAGAAGAUGAAGUUCAUAAGCAGAAGUUACAGGGAGGUGCAGGAGAUCUGCUGAGCUGCCUUUAUUGUAGCUCUCUAGGAGGAAGAGGGAAGACCAGCAUGGAGUUCUGCUGGAAAUCUGGCUCAUGGGAAGCCUUAGUAACUUCCCAUGUCUUGGCUCAACUCCCCCAGUGAUGCUCCCUGAUAGUUCAUCUCACUGUGACUGGUAAGGAGUGUACAGUUGUCCAUUCUUUCAGCGCCUGACCCAAAAGGGUUUCUGGUUCUCCUUCUCCAUCUUGCUCUGGAUGCUGCUGUCAUGUGCGCCACAGAGAAAAAUGGGGAGUAUCCACUGGAGGGAGUAACCCAAAGGGGAGAACAAUCUCAUCAGAGCACACGUGCUGGCCCUGACAGUGAUCCUGUACUACCUCCACCAGGGUCCAGCAGCAGAAGCUGGUAAUGAGCCUCUGCAAAUGAACUGGAAGAGGAGUUUCUCCUCCACUGAAUGUUUCUGACAGUUGAUGUUGCACAGGAAGCUGUUCCAUGCCCUUGCCAUCUUUUCCCUUCCUCAGGAGAGAGAGUAUGGGCAUGAGUGUGAUCCCUCAAUGCUGAGCACCAAUGCCUAUCCCACAUUCACCUUCAGGGACGCAUGAUAUCAUGUGGCUGCCCACACUGUCCAUCCUGAUCACCAGUUUCUCGUGAUGUCUUGGAGAGGGAGUGGUGACAGUGACCUGUUGCUGACUCCACAGCCUCCAUUUUUCCUGGCACCUGGCAUGGACUUGGGGCUGUGAGAGAAAUCAUGCCCAUGCUCUUUAUGCUGGAAUCCUACAUGCCCCGGCUUGUGUCUCCAACAAUAGCAAAGAGUUGCCUGAUAUCUUGGGAUCCUUGAUUCCGUACACAGCUGCUUGACCUGAGAUGUAUUAAGAUAUGCUGCUCGUGAAACUGGAUUUUUGUGCAUUCAGUUCCUCCGCUUAGCUUGCUUUGCCUCAAUUGUAGAACUACAGAGAAUUAAUUUCUUCAUAUACCUAAAUGGGAAAAUGAUGCUUGGUUUAGAUAAGAUCUCUUCUUGCUUUCAUGGUGUUAUGGCUGAGUUGGUCAGUUGAACCAGGCUGUAACUCCUGGUUCCCAUAGUGAAUUACUAUGUUUUCUAUGAUUUUGGCUGUUCUGCUACCAUCUUGUGUCUGACUGACCUGGCACAUGAUUACAGAAAGAGUCUGAACAUACGAUUACAGGACCUAUGAAAGGUCUUACUGGAAAGAGCAAAGCUGACCAGAACCUUAGCCUGUCUUGGCAUCAGCUGUACUGUGCAGAACCUGAGAUUUUAGAAUCGUCCUCUUAAACCCUUGGUUUUUUUCAUUGAAUGCAUGAGAAACCCUAAUCUCUGCUUUCCAGAGCAUGAAACUUGAUUGUAGGAGGAGAGGUGUUACUGCAUGAAUGUGUUCAUUUUUAGACAUAAUUUAUUAUCUUCUUUUGCAGUAAAAACAACCAGUUGUAGCUGAAGUUCACCCAAAAUUCCUGAUCAGUCUUUUCCAGCUACCCUUCUGCAGGGAUGGCAUGCCACAAAGUAUGUUGAGGCGUGGGCAGUCGUACACAGGGUUGGAAGUGGGGAGUGAGGCCAAGAGCCAAGCCUCUCUGUCUUGGUAUAAAGCUGCAAUGAAUACAGACAAAGUGGAGCUCUUGCACCAUGUGAGGAAUGGAGAAACUGGAAUCGGCCUAAUGCUGCUUCAGAGUUUUCUCUGAGGUACAUGAAGGCUGGAGUGAGUUUAGGUGGUUUUGGGGGUAGUGACUCUGCAGUGGCUAAAACCAAAUUCUUCUCUCCCUCUUGAGGCAGUUCUCUGAUAAGCUGCGAAUAUGUUGUCCUGUACCUGUCCCUUAAUUUAGGGAUUUAUGCUAACAUCAUACUGAAGGCCUGUAAACUCACGCAAUUUUCUGAGUAAUUCUAGAAAUCUCCUCCAGAAGGAACAGCUGUUUGGGGCUUUCUUGUGCUCCAGUAGCUGAAGCGUGAGGUUGCUUUGAGAUGAGAUAGUGCUGCUUUUACAACAGUAGGUGAAGAAAUGCAAGGAAAUACAGUUCCCUGCAGUCCUCUUGGAGGAUGAUGAAACCAGCUCUGAGGGUUUCAGAUUUGUCUGAAGAAGUGGUUUGCUGUAUAGAGGCUAGCUCAGAUUUGCUGGUUCGGAACAGACUCAGACCCCCACUUAGGGAAACUGGCAGCCUCUUCUUGUCUGUCAUUAGAGCAGUCAGCAGGGGUAUUCAGCCUUCUCUCUCCUAGGGCCUUUUAUAUUGGCAACAACAUGCAAAACACUGGUAGCAAUUGCUGUCAUUGCAGAAACUAAACAUUAUAGGACAAAAAUGUAACCUCGGUAUCUUCUAGUAAGACAUUUAAUGGUUGCCUUUGUGCUCAGCCAUUGAGAGCAUCUCACUGACUGCUAUUUUCUAUGCUAACCAAUGCUAUCUUGUUUCCUUCUUCUCAUUCACUUCCUGUCUGUCUUCUGUCCUUUCUCUCCAUCCUAUUCCCCAUCUCAAAGAGCCUAUGGACUCUAUGUGUCCAGAUGUUGCAUAGCUCCAUGCACAACAGGACCCUGUUUCAAGAUGAGGCGUCCUGGUGGUACACAGCAUUGCUAUUAAAAAUUAAGGGCUUAGUUGUAGAUAGCCCUAAGGCUGUCAAGGUGGAAGGACUGGGCAGCUGCUGGCUGUUAUUGUAAUGAAUUCUCUCAGUUUUCGAAGACUUCCAUGACAUCCCCCCUGGUGCCCAGGUGUGCCCCACUCCCUGAUUCAGCUCGGUGCUCUGAAGCCCUGCUUCCCGACAGCCCUCCGAGCAGAGCCGUGCUGCCCUGGCUACGGGAUGCUCGAGAUGCUUCCCUCGGUGCAGGGACAGGUAGCCAUGCGGGAGCCCUGUUCUGCCGUCAGGCGGUGACUGCGGCUGGUUGGCCACCAGAGGGGGACCGGUAGUCGACUUGAGCUGAUCCCAUUUAGGAGUGGCCAACUUCAGCUCUCUUGAAAUCACGCAGUUUGGGUUACAGUUGUUUGGGUUUGUUGGUUUGGUUUGUGGUUUUUGGGGUGUUUUUGUUCAGCAGACCUCUUAGUCUAGCAAACAAGCUGGCAGAUUCUCUCUUACUGUGCUUCUAAUCCCCAAAUAGGAGUGUGUGAGAAGUGAGCAUCUAGGAAGCAUCCCCUAAAUUUGCACAAGUCCCUGUUGCAUCACUCCCACUUGCCCUUUUGUUUUCCAAAAGGCAACACAUUUAAAAUGCAUGAAAGGAAGCUGGAUUUACAUAUGUAUGAUUAACCUGCAGCACUCUCUCAUGACACUCAGCACAAAAAGCUUAGGAAGAAGUGCUUAAUAUGAACAAACAACAGUAGCACUAACAGAUUAGAUGUGCUCCCUCAGGCUUUGAGACAUAGGUUAGUGAUCAGUUUGUGAGAGGAGAGAAAGUUUUAAUGCAUGGACCAGGAAUGCAGAAUUUAGCUGGUGUACAGAGAGAGCUGCUGUUCUCUUUUUGGGAUUCAUUAUAGCAUAAUGGACUUUUUUAAAAUUAACUGCAGGCACCACUAACCUUUCCAGAGAGCCUGGGGGAGUGGAAGUUGACUGAGCUUGGAUGAGUUGCAGUAGGUGACUGGAACAGUGCAGCAGCUCCAGGGAUAGGAGGGAAAAAGAAUCAUUUUACCACCCUCGAGGGGAAACUGUCCUGAAGUGGUCCCUGCACAGGCCAGUGCCUGCCUUGGACACUCUUUGCAUCAUAUUGUUUUUCAGUAGAGAUGGCUUGGGCCAGAUAACCUCACACUUUGCAGUUAGUGUUGUCAGUAGCCUUUUGGAAGUGUCUUUGCAAGAUGCUCCGGGAAUGUCCAGGAGCUGGCUCUGCUGUGCUUCAUCCCCUCUGGUUUCUCCUCCUGAGCAAGGCUGAGCUUCAGUUCAAGUGCAAAGUGGCAGAGUGUCAAAGAAGCUGCAUAGCAAACACAUUACUGAGGUGUAAUUCACUUGAUGCUGUGGAGCUAAUUCAGGCCUGGGGCUCUGACCUUUAUGGAUCUGCUCCCCAGCAGUGUAAGAAGCAGAGGAAAAGGCACCAGGUUGAUCAACAACAGCAGAGGGUAGGAAGGCAUCUUUAGAUUCUAGUGCAGAAAUGUUCAUGGGUCAGAAGGCACUACUCUGGCUGAAUUUCUCAGCAAGAUCCCUUCCCCUUAAGUGCUCAGUGUAGUGCUGGACGUUUAAGAUUGCAUGACGUGGUAGCCUAUGGAGAUGGAUAGAGGAACAGAAUCUGAUAGGAGGUUGUGGUAUUGAAGUAGAAGUUUAUAAGAGACUGAAGGAAACACACAGCUCCUGAUUCCUUUGUCUUUUUGUACAAGGUCAAAGUGACAGCCAGCAGAUAAAGGCAACAAGCACGUGACUAGUCAAAACUGUCUGCUCCACAGAUGGACUGAGGAAAGCAUGAGCUUUCCUCCCUGUCCUCCUAAGGGCAGAUGAAAGAGUGUGACAUGCAUGUGGAAAGUGAAAACAUCCAUGGUUAAAUAAGAUGUAAAGCAAACUAACCUUUCUGCUUCAGGGCCAAAGCCUGUCUCUGACAGACAGGAGUUAGGAAGGAGCUUGCUUUCUGCUUGUCUUGAAGCUAGCCACUGUCCUGUGCUGGAUGCUGACCCAAAGGAGUGUUUGGCAGCUGCUGGCUCUAGGCAGGAAGAAGAAGGCAGAAUCUGCUUUAAUCCUGUCAUAGAUGUUGUGCUACUUAGGGUUGAGCCAAUUUAAUACUUGAGUAAGGAGCAGGCAUAUCCUUCACAAAACUGGGUGUUAGUGGCUUUUCAGAAAAUCCCCUCCUGUUAGGGGAGGACCACCCUCAGCAUGUUGUGACUGUAAGAGGGGCUGCACAGAGGAUGGGCUCUCCAUCCUGCCCUCUGGUCCCAGUGCAGCACCUACCAUGUUCCCAGUGGGUGUAUCAGUGUAGAGCUCCACCAAAUAUGGUGAGAAGUCUUUGACUUGUUUCCAGAGUGUCUAGGUGUUUGCUGUUAGCAAAUUUCAGUAGUGCUGUUCUGUUUCCUGGAUAGGUAAUUUCCUUUUCCACCUCUCUGAGCUGUUGGAUGGUUGUGGGGUGAUGAUGAAGCCUGAGCCUGAAAGAGAACUGUGUUGUGGUGCUGGGUCAGGGAGCCCAGACCUAUGUUCUUACAUGUCUUAGAGCUGGCAGACUCAUGGCAGGGAGAGUGUGCACUGUUCUGUAAGGCCAACACCUGCCCUGUGCCCUUCUUGAGCCAUGAACAUUGCUUGUAGAUACAAGAGCAGCUUUUGUCCUCCCUGGCUUCAGCCUAGCACAGGUUCGAGGAGGGGGAGGGUUGUCUCCCGAAGCUCAUCCUUGGUGAGCCCCAUGGAGAGGUGGAUGCAGCUGUGGUUUCUUGUCUGCCUUCUCACUUUCAGCCCACUCCCUGCAUCUCAUCCUCUGCCCUGUUCUCUUCCACUAUUACUCCUUCCACUCUGCCAAUGCAGCAGUGGAGAAGACGAAGUGCCCUUCUCCCUUCUGCUCAGGGAGAGCUCCCUCCCUAGUUUUCUCUGGCUGCCUUUUGCCUUUCUAAUCUGUCAUGGUAAUUUACCCUGGCACUAUUUGGCAGGGGCUGCACCUUGGCAUUAUGAGCAGCCAGGGUCAGCUGUCAGCCUCUGAGCCAUGAGCCUAAUGCAAUGGAACAGAUGUAGGUAUUUUUUCCAAGUUUUCCCUGGACAGCAGGAUUAAAGUCUCUGUUCUCAGCUGGGGUCCCCGGUGUAGUCACUUCCCUCUGUGUUACACAACACCCUAUUAAGAAGAACAGCACAAACAUGUUCAUUGAGAUCCCUUCCCCCAGCCAUACAAGGCCAAGGAACAAAGGUGAGGGAAAUUUCCAAAGGCUGAGGAGCUGUCUGUUUGGUCCAGGAGCCCUGGGAUAAUCCUGCCCAGCUGUCCCCCUGUGAAAGGGCCCUGCCACUCUGCUGUACUCCAUCCUUGUGGUGCCAGGGCUAAGGGGGAACACAGGGGGUAGUGGUGGUAAAAGAGCAGUGGGGUCUUACAUCCAUCUGGCUGUGUGCAAACCUGAGUGAGUACCAAUGCAGGGAGAAGCUAGUGUGGCAGCAUCCCUCCCAGGCCCGGUGUUUGCACCUGCCUACUGAGCUGGAGGCUUCUGAGCAUGAGCGUGUGCAUGAGCAAACAGGCAGACAACAGAGAGUGACGAGAAACCCCGAGGGUUGUCUUGGUGCUAGUAAGGGAGAAGGGGUUAGGUGUGGUCCAUCAUCCAGAUAAACUUUCUUGCUUGAAUUCAAAGGUGUCAUGUCCUGAGAAGACUCAUGUCUUUUCAUCGCAAGGGUACUGGGGGAGCUUGCUGGAAAUGGAGGCAGUGUGCUCUCCAUAGAUGAUCUUGAAGUGACUGGCCACAGAGAGGGACUGCAGGCACCCUUGGUGAGCAGGAGAGGGCUUCCCCAGCAGACCAAAGGGAGCAGUCAGGUCCAUGUGAGCACACACGAGGAUCUGCUGCCUCUGUGCACCAAUUACUUGCUUUAGUGACAAAAGACCAUAAAUGAACAAGGGAGGUAAUUAGGUCUGCAGCAGGCCAGGUCUGGAGGCCUGCAGAGCUGAGAAAUUUGGAGUGUGUUCAAAGGCACAGGGGGAGGAGAAGGCCCUGGAGCUCUGUGUAGCAAACAAAGGUUCUGCUGGUUUUGCCCCUCAGGGAGCGCUGAGAAAAACGUCUCUGACUUGAAGGAUGAUCCCCAGGAGGGGGAGAGACCAGCUCCUGGCAGCAUCUGUUUGUUCAGGCCUCCAGUGAAGGACUUAAACAGCUUGUUAAUUCACUCCUUUGUCCAGCUGCAGACCCUUUGUAGUUGCAAGCGAGCUCCAGGGCAGUGUGUGCAGUUGUGAGCCAGCUCCUUUGCCCUGGUACUCUGUGCGCUGGAUGAUCCAGUGAGCUGUCAGCAGGGCUGAGGGGCAUGUUGCAGCUGUCCCAUGUCUAGUAAAAUGCUCACAGCAGGUCCUUUCCAUCUGCUUUGGCCCAAGAGUGACCCUUGCAAACCUCCUCUCCCUUGCAGUCGCCUCAGCAGAUGGUGGGAAGGCAGAUGGAAAGAGGGCAAUCUCUGAAGCUGUAGCAAUAGAAAAGUCUGACCCUGUGAUACCUCUCACCCCACCACCCACAGGUACUGGGUUCUUGCAGUGCCACCUAACCUGUAAGCCUUGGCCUCCGUGUCCCUUCUCCCAGCCUCUUAGAGCACCUCCUGCUUCCUUCUCUGGACCUCAGUGGAGGCUCUGCAUGGCAUCCAAUUGGAAGAGGGCCUGCCCCAGCUCUGCAAGCAGAGUAGGAAGGGGCACCUGUGUUACGAGGGGAGCUCAUGGCAUAAUGAGAGCUGAGGAACCCUUGUGCUCUAGGUGACGUGUUGCUGGGGUCUUGGGGCCUACGAGUUUGGCGCUGGGGGUGUACAGCUGUGGUGAAUCAUUGCAAACCACUUUGAGCAGCUGCUCUCUUGACUCUACCCCCCCUUGCACCCUGCAUGCAUAAAGUCUGCUUUGGGAGGGGGGCAGAGGUUCCUUUCCCUACCUGCAAUUGAACCAGACUGCAGGAGUUCAAGGAGGUAGAACGGCACACUUGGCUCACACUGGAGGAAGUUUCAGCUCAGCAAUGGUGUUUGGGACAGCUGAGUUGUAUAUCGCCUGCCAGGCUGCACCAGCUCCUCUGGAGUGAGGACUCAAAACAGACUUGGUCACUGUUCCAGACUUUUCCUUCACUUCAUUUAUUAGCGGCUUCAGAUGCAAAUUCAGUGGCCGGUAUGUGGAGGCCUGGCUGGCUUUGCAGGGCUCCUGUCCAGCUGCCCUCAUUCAAUCUGCCUCCCUGGUGGGCUUGGCUGGAUGUGAGCCCAGCAAAGGUCUUGGAGGGAAUGUGUGGGGCAUCCAGGUUAUAGCACUGUCACCUUCCUCUCCACGUGAUGGCAGUGGCUGGCUUGGACAGAGGACAGGCCCUUCCCAUAACAUAAGCAAGCUCAAUGCAUCCAAGUACAAUACAGACGUGAAAGGUUUGCCGUGCAGUGGCAGUUCACCCCACCUCACAUUAGGCACAGCAGACAGUUCAUGAGAGAUGACCCUUCCUCCUGCAAAAUAGCUUGUGCAGGCAGUGUGGACGAGGAGCAAGAAACAGCCUGAAAAGAAAUAGCAGGAUGGUGGAGAAAAGCUUGGAAAGGUUGCCAGGCUUGCAAAUGUAAAGAUGUCCAGGGGCCGUGUAGAGGGGCUCCACUGUAAUGUUUGGUACCAUGCCCAGCCUGAAGUUCUAGCACCAUUUAGUAAGCUGGACCAGCCUUGUUUGGCUGGAUGGAAGCAGUUGUCAUCGUGUCCCAAGUACAGUAUCAUUGUCACUUUUUAAUUCCUCCAAUGAGGUGUUGCAAACAGAUAUACAUGUGUUGUAGCUGUACUUUGGAUUUAGAUUUGUCUCUGGGAACAGGCAGUGAUAAGUGUUAAGAGCUGUUUAGUUCCCAAAUUCUUGUGUUUCUGAGCUGGUUUCUAGCAAGAACAGAAGUCACACAGCUGGGGAAGAGGCUGUGUUCCCCACCAGAAACAUGGUGAUGGGCUGGGAAGAGACCCCAAGCUGGUGAUGCCCUCCCAGCAGCUGGGGUUAAUGACCAGGCUAAGGUCAUUGGUAGUGUUAUACGACAAGUGCUAAUUGAGCUUGCCCUUGUUCACUGUUUGCCCCGGGAUUUGCCUGGCAGCUGCAGGGGCAGGUUUGGGGCUGUGGAGGCAGGUCCCCUGUGGGAAGAGGCUGCUGUGAUUAAUGACCAUCUAUGAAUGAGAGGGGAAGGGAUAGGAGGAGAAAACUGCCAAGGCUUUAACUCCGGUGGGUACAGAGGUUCAGCUUGGUUCAGCUUGCUGAACUUGGCGGGCGGGGAAGGGUCCCUCUAGCUGCUAACAAGCUAGAGGUGAGCGUGGGUGAUCAGAAUGUGUUGCAUAAGUCAGACUUGAAGUGCCAGAAAAAGCCUCCAGGGAAUUGAAAUGUCUUAAGUGUCAUCAGCUCUGCAGAGAUAAUGAGAACCAGAAAACACUGGGAGGUAAAAUGGUACAGAUCUGCAAAAACACGCUUGCGGGCCUGCGAUCCUUGUGGAUCCGUGUUGACUGCAGGGAUGGUGGGGAAGGUGGCCAUGAGGGAGUCUGGUGUUUAUGUGUAGGGUUAAUCCUCCUAAAUCUAGAAGGCAAUCAACUUUGAAAGAAGAAAGUCUUCCUGCCAAAUGAUGUCCCCUGCCCACCAUCCCUGCUUCUUGAACAGAAGCAAGAAAUGAGGGGAAGUGAUAAGGGGUGGAUCUGCUAUCACUGCGUUUCUGUGGUCAGUGCAAAUGAGGGAGACACCCCUGUUUUGCUCUGGGCUUAGCCUCUUGACCAAGGCCCUGUAACUUGGGGUUGAGGGAGCCCCUUGGGACUGGAGCCAGGAAGUGCAGCUAAAAGCAUUGUGAGGGUCCAUGGGUGUCACAUCCAAUAGUGGCACCUCUACCUCCUCCGGUGGCGACCAAACCCAUUACAGCAAAGGUGGCAGAUGGUCACCUGUGUUAGAGGUCAGAUCAGAGUGAAGGAUGCUGGAGCAGGUUGCCCAGGGAGGCUGUGGAGCCUCCAUCCUCAGAGGAGUUCAAAAACCCAGCUGAACAUGGCUCUCUGAGCAUCCUGGCCUGAGCAGGGGGCUGGACCCCUCUCCAGAGUUUCCAUCCCACCUCAACCAGUCUGUGAGCAUGUGGGAAGAGCACCAGGGGAUGCUGCCAGGACAACCUGCUUGCUUGGCCAUGGCUGGGAGGCUCAUGGCUGGCUGAGGACAGUAGGAGCCUGUUUCCUCCUCGUGUCCACUGUGAAAUCAAGAGUGAUAGGGUACUUCAUCACUCCCUUGCCCACACCUCUCCUUGCAGGGCUGUGGCUGAGCCCUGCAGGACAGGAGCACUUUGGGGCCCAGCAGAGUGCUUUUGGAAGCCAUCUGAGUUGCUGCCUCUGGGCACUGCAGUGGUGAAGCUGGCUUACUUCUUCCCAAUAGGAGGCAGGGCUGUAAAACAACUGUGGAAGUAAGUAGAAGUUAGGCAUCAACAGCCACCUGGCGUUUGGCGUUAGGCCUGAACUGGUGAGAGUGAGGGCAGGGUUAUUUCACAAAAUAGUGAUGAAGUAUCUGGUGGGGUUUUGUUUUCCUAGAUGCCUUCUUGCUGGUGCCCUGAAGGCUUGUGGGAAAGAGCAGAUGUUUGCACUUGUACCUGUGCCCCAGUUGCAUGCCUUCCUCUGCCCACAAAGGCUGCAUUCCCAGCACUGGGAGAAGCUCUGUGUUGGCUGUGAGAUCUCAGGCUGGAUUAAGUGGCAAAGGCAAAUCCUCAGCUUUGGGAAGAGCACACUUGACCUUUGCCUCUACAGAGUUAUGCUCUCCCUGGGGAGGAAGUGUUGGCUGAGCUGCUAAACAAAGCACUGGCUGUCAUAAGCAGGACCUGCCUGCCUUGGGGAGGGAGGGCCUGGGAUGGGGGUCAUAUUUAUGCUCUAGGGGGGGAGGAAGAGACAGCAGACUCAGUGACCUGUAAGCUUAGAGGUGACCAGCUCAAUUUACUGAAAAAUGUUAAGCUACAUUACCUUCUCUAUCAAAAAUACACCAUCUGGGAUGGUCUGGGCAGAUGAGCCCACUGACAAAUCCAGUUGCAAGAGGGGAAUUUUCUUGGGAAGAUCGAAAUGAUAUUUUGAAUCCCCUUCCCUUAUUUUCCAACCUGUUCUUCUGUCAUAUCUUGCAAUAUCUCUCACCCUGAAUUGCUGCUAGCAUCUUUGCAGGUUCUCCAGGUCCCAUGGAAGAAGUAUCCAGUAGUGAACUGGGCCCUAGCAUGGACUUCAGACAACGUUAUAGGUGCUCAGUGGUAGGAGCAGCUAAACUUGCUUGUUCUCCCUAAGCAGUGGCCUGUGUACAUGUCUCACAUUAAUUCAGGCAUUUUCUCCUACAGUAUGUCCCUCGGUUCUGUGUAAUGUGGCUCAUUCCAGUGCCAGAGGGCCCAGCAAGGUAUAUGGACACAGAGGGUAUGUGUGUGGUGGUCUCUUUUCCACUUUGCACCCAGGUUUUUAAAACAGAUGCAUAACAACAAUGAAACUGGUUGAGUGCAAAGCACUACAGAAAUGUAUUUGCAUCUCCAUUGCUACAGGUACAGUGUUAUCCCUGACCUUCUCGCCCUCAUCUCUUCUCAGCCUCCUCCACUAAAAUCCUUUGAGCUUGGAACCACUUUGAAUUUGUGACUAAAGAGAUAGUUCAAUAUUACUGAGAGCAUGUGGGUUAGGGAGGGAAGACAUUCACUUGGGUAGAGCUGCUGGAAAAAUCUAGGUUUUCCCAAGCCUCCAAAAGCCUGUAAAAUGGGUAUAAAUACAUCUACAGUGUACUGCAUUGCAGAAAAGUGAGGAGACUGAUACAGCUUGAAAGAAAUUUCUGCUUUUGUGCCACCUUUGCCAGCUCCUGUAGAUAUUUGUGCAGUGCUCAGCCACUAGAGUGGCUUUCUCUGAGUCACUAGAGUCCUUUCUCUUCCAGGGGUGAUGAGAGUGUAGCAUGGUGGUCAGUACUGUUGCCUUCACCUGCAGUUGGACUGGCAACAUGGAAGGAGAUGAAAAGUUUGUUAAUCAGCUGCUGUGAACUUAGACCCAGACCAUCUGAAGACCUUGUGGGAAGCAACCACCACUAUGUUACCAAAGCUCUCCUGCACAUUGGGGAUAGAGCUCCUGCUCUAUCAGCUUUACAGUUUGUCUGUGUCUCUUGCCUCUGUGUCACUCACACCCUGAAGUAUCAGCUGUGUUUUGUUGGCAUGGGAUGACUGGGAAGAGACCAAAAUCAGAGUAUGUUACUGAACACUUACAUGAGAGGUCUGUUGUUAGCACUGGUGUGAGUGCUGCACAUCUGAGAAACGAAUACAAUUAGAGGGGCUGUGCACGUGAAACAACUCAGGGCAGUGGGCCAUGUUCCUCCUUUAGAUCUGCUUGGUGCUGACAAACCCAUUAGUGGCAGCUUGAUGCUGCUGCUGAUCAGGACUUCAAUGAGAGCAAAAGCCCUGGAGGCUGUUGGCAGCUGAGCUUUGCACAGGACCAAGCUGAUGGAGUCAGUUAUCUCCACCCAACCCAUAUGGUGCAGAUUCCCAAUCAACUUUCUGAGCAUGCGGGCUUUCUGGGAGAUGUUUGGCUGUAGUCUGGGCUUGGUAUAGCUGCAUCAGCAGGUUCUGGGGUGGGAAGGGCACUGGAUUUCACUUCCCAGUUUCCCUCCUAGAACCUUGCUGACACAGCUUCCUGGACCACUAAUGUCAGGAAGAGGCAGUUCAUUUUCUGGGCGGGGGGGGGGGGGGGAGCUCAGCCCAGCCUACAUGGGGCAUGAGAAGGGCACCAAACCAUCCUUCCAGCCCAACUGCUUCCUCCACUAAAGCAACGAGACAGAGUUUCUGCCAUAUCCAGACUGUUUGGAAACAUGUUGAUAAACUUCCAAAUGUCUACUUUACAAUCCAGAUGUGCUAGCCUUGGCUGUAAACCCUCAUCUGAAGAACAGGUGUGCUAUAAUGUUUCUAACAGUGGCCCCAAAGCCAGCUGGAGUCUGGAACUGAGCAGGGGCCAAGGGGCUGAUGCCAUAUAGGAUAUGGAUACUGGGGCAGGGACAGGUGAGGUAGAAUGCUGUGGGUCAGCUGUAGUUCACAGUAACCCAGAGUCAGACUGCGAGGGAAGAAGGGGACAAACUGGAAUAUCCCUCAGCCCCCAGGCUCUGCUCAGCAGCACUGGAGCUGUCGCAGAAGAGGCUGCCCUGGUUGUAUGGGUAACAUGGAUGCAUCCCUAGGGGGCAUCAGGCUUGGUUGGAUCUGUCCUGGUGAGGAGACACAGGGCUAGAGCUGGCCACCAGCCUCUGUGGUAUUUUCUGUGAUUUGCCUCAACCCCCCCAGCAGCUCUGUGGUCUGGGAGGCGCUGCAGGUCAGAGCACCUCCCUGCCGGCAUUACUGCGGGAACUGAAAUAAAUGGGGCAGCUGCUUUGUUGGGCCAAACUUCAUGUGCAGUUUUGGCCUGAAAAGGUGUCCCCCUGGGCUGGGGAAGGUGUCUUGCUACUGGGCCUGGAUCUGGUUUCCAAUAGCUGUGCUAGGGAGAAGCACAGUCCCAGUGGAAAGAUUGGUGGCAGUAGUGGGCUGCCAGAGAGGGGCACCAACUCUCUGGUGCGGGAAGGACAGCCAGCCUUGGGUGCAGGCUGGCAGGAAGCCUGUGGAUGGUGGGGAUGAGAGAAGGCACAAGAUGCAGAUACCACACCACCUUAGCUACACAUGGUGCCUGCAAGCUCAGAGAUGAGAUCCACACUGAUGGCCUAUUGCUCUACUCCCCAAGCCCCCAAACUUGCUCUCACAUAGGAUUUUAGCUGCACUGGAACCUCUUGGUGAUUUGUGUAGCCUAAAGCUUUUGUCAGUGAUGUUCGUACCCUUCAUAGCUCCCACAGAUCUGGCCAAGCUUGCAGGGAAACAGAGCCUGACUGAGAGCAACCAGGUAGGCAACACCUGCCAGAAGAGCAGCUGCCUUUGCUGAAAGUGGGUUUCAAGGCUGGGGUGACUCAGGCCAGGGACAGCACUGAGGAAAGCCAAGGGCUGUAUUGGUCCCAUGUCUUCAUAGAACAAGAGACCAAAGUGGCAUUGAGAGGGGCCCCCACAGAUAGCACUUGCUCCUGCACCUGGGGUGGCCCUGGCCAUGCUCUGUGCUCAGUGAGGAGCCUUCAGCAUCCCCUUGUCCCCUUCAGUGAGCAUAAGGCUAGCUAGUGCUGUUGCUUCAUUUUCAUCUGCUCCCAGAUUGCACUCCUGGCUUGUGGAAAUAUCUUUCCGGCUCUCUACCCCUGUCUGCCUUCCUCCUGCUCCUCUGCAGCAGGAGCUGCCUGUAGACCAGCCUAGCUUCCACAACCUCAGAGCAGGCAGUUCUGGCCUGAUGUUGCUGAUGCAGGGAUGUUCCCCAGGAAAGUCGUGAGCUCCCCACCUCCUUCAGCCCUGCCAUUCUCCAGGAUGUGCUUCCCUUGGCUCAGGGAUGCACAGGGCCAGGCUCUGGGAGGGAGGAAGGCGAGGGUCUCUCCCACCUCCAUGGUGCCAGCUGCCUUCCUUGGCUGCCAUCCCUGCUGUCAGAGCUUGCUAGCCUUGAGAGAAGGCAGGUGGCCGCUUGUGCUAUUGCCACUGCUGUGUCCUUGAGCUGUGCAAGGCUUUCUUGCCUGCUCAGAUGGGCUGAAACAGGGAAGAGGAGAGGGAGGGAAGGCAGAGGCAUAGCCUGAGAAUGCAUGCCAGAGCUCAGUAUGGCAUCAGUAAUCAUCAUCAGAGAGGGUAGGCUUGCAUUGUCCCUGCUUUUGUCCUGAGCUUCAAACUCAAGGAGAGGCAGAAGAGUCAUGAGUGCCAUCUCUUUAAUCGUGUUAUGGACUUCUGUGCCUGGUGUGUCUCCUGUUUGGGUGGGAAGUGGAUGCUUCUGCAUCUCAAGCUGCUUUUCUCAGAAGAUUACGACCUGAUGUGGUGUGGCACAAAAAGGGGCUUUACUCAUCUUCUCUGUAGUUGUCCUGCAUUUGUUUCCUUUUUAACCUCUCAUUCAUCUUUAUUCUUAUUUAGUGUAAGAGCCUGGGUUCCUUUCUGAAGGCUGUGUGCCACACCUGUGUGUAGAGUGGGUGACAGUAGAGUCAGCCUGGCAACUAGUGAGGGAGACUUCUGGAGCUGUGAUGUCACUGGAGAGCUGAAUUCCCAGCCUAUGAAGUCAUAGCUGGGAAAUUGGGUACUCAGCCUAAUCCCAAUAAUUACCCAAUGGGACUGUAAAGUGUCAAUGCAUUAGUCUAUUGCGUGAUGACUAACUAUUUAAGCUCUAACACAUCCACCUAAUAAUUGCCACUUUUUGCAUUUCCCUAAGAUUCACUUAUUAGUAAGCUAUUAAACAUUCACUUGAAAUUAUUGCAUUGUGAUGAACUGAGAUCAUUGCUCACACAGCCAUUGCAAUGCCCAAACUGGUAGGAAAGCACCUAAAAUCCUAUGAUGGGAGUGAGCCCACAAUUUUAGGAUGGCAGAGUAAACAAACUAAUAUACAGAUAUAACAUCAGCCCCACCAGUCAUUCCUAUUUCAGGAUCUGUGUGACCAUCAUCAGUUUCACUUUGUUAUGCAAAGCUGAUGGGUUGAAGGACUUUAAGUCCAAAUUUCCCAUGCCCUGGUGAGGGUCUUAAGGAAGGAACAGCAACUUGAAGGAAAUGAAUCGUUGCUUUUUAGGAAGAUUGCUUUGGAAUCAGAAGCAGAAAUGAAACUACUUUAAUCCCAAACACUCUGUAGAAUUGAAAGUUUGAUUCAAGUUUGUUUUUUCUGGUCUUCUUGUUGUUGAGAAGUUCAGCAUGGGAGGAAUUUCUCAGGAAGAGCUUCUUUAUCACAGCCUGGGCAUUGCCUGGUUUCCCCACAAGGGGGGCAUUCCCUCUUCAUGGGUUACAGCCCAUAAAAAUGGCAAAAGGUUCUGCUUCCUUCUUUCCUUUCCUUUCCUGCUUUUGUGAGGACAGAUGACUAAUGAGUGGAGCAGUUGAAGCCCCUCAUCAGGCUGAUGUCCUGAGCAGGCUUGCUCCUGCAGGGAAUGCAUGAUGGAAUGGCAGGUCAGGGCAGCCUCUCUGCUCCUCAGGCAUGCUCAGGUUUUCCUGGUUUCCAGGCCCCUUUCCCCACCACAUGCAGUUCCAGCCACAGGUACUGAAGAAGCAGAAAGGCCAGACCAGCCUCUUGGGGAGAAGGGAGAUUGCAGUUGCAUCAUUGCAAACAGGACUUCAUUAAUUAUAAAUGGACAGGUUCUCUUGAGUUGCUGUAGAUCUGCAUGAGUCACAUUCUAGCUGAGGGUUGGUUUUUUUUUUCUUCUGAGGAGUUGCCGAAGGGGCUCUAAAUAGUGUGAUGGACAAAUAAGGAACCAGCUGUGCUCUGCAGCUAGCUCAACCAGGGCCUUUCUACAGCAGUAGCCCACAGCAAUCUCCUCUCUGCCUCACUCUGCACUCCCAUCCCUUGGGUUCUGCCAUCUGGUCCUGCUCUCCAGGUUUCUUCUUCCUAGCAGCAUGUUUUUGUCUCCUCUAGUAACAUCUUUUUCAGCAUGUGGUCUCAGCCCUUGGUAAUGCGUGGACAUACAUUUAGACAACAGCACGAUCAAGAAGUCCAGUUGUGGACACCCCAUUGCCUGGUUUGUGCCUCCACCUCAGAGAUGGUCCUGGUUAAAUGAAAGCAGAAGAACAAUAAAACCAGCAAACCUUGGCUUUCGACUAGGAACUGCCGAA